rnacentral:tmRNA from 1 species
GGGGGCGUAAAGGUUUCGACGGGGGUAGUGAAGUCAGGUAAGCGAGCCGCUGUUGGCCCAGUCAGCGUAAAACAGAGCCCGUUAAAAAGAAACGAUAAUUCUAGAAACAAUUUCGCAUUCGCAGCUUAGUUAGCUGCCCGCGCGUCGGCCUCGGUUCGCCUGCAGGCUGAGAUCCCGGCGUCGACUAUGCAGGAAACCGUCGAAGGGUGUCCGGACUUCGGGGGAGCAAUUCGGACUGGGGGGACCUUUCACCUGCCUACCGGCGUCUGGGAACCCGAGAUUGAAACGAUAGGCUGCGCUCGGAGAAAGCCGGGUGGAGUUGCUUUCGGACGCGGGUUCGAUUCCCGCCGCCUUCACCA